rnacentral:rRNA from 1 species
AGCCUACGGGGCGCAGCAGUAGGGAAUCUUCCACAAUGGACGAAAGUCUGAUGGAGCAACGCUGCGCGAGUGAAGAAGGGUUUCGGCUCGUAAAGCUCUGUUGGUAGCGAAGAAAGAUAGAGGGAGUAACUGGCCUUUAUUUGACGGUAAUUACUUAGAAAGUCACGGCUAACUACGUGCCAGCAGCCGCGGGAAUACGUAGGUGGCAAGCGGUGUCCGGAUUUAUUGGGCGUAAAGCGAGUGCAGGCGGGUCAAUAAAG